rnacentral:piRNA from 1 species
UNGAUCUAUGGAGCCAAGAACCUAGCCUU